ACCCGCACAAGCAGCGGAGCGUGUGGUUUAAUUCGUUGCUACACGAAGAACCUUACCUGGGUUUGACAUAUAGGUUGUAGGGAACUGAAAGGGACCGACCCUUCGGGGAGUCUAUACAGGUGUUGCAUGGGCUGUCGUCAGCUCGUGUCGUGAGAUGUUCGGUUAAGUCCGCUAACGAGCGCAACCCUCGUCGUAUGUUAUAUGUGUCAUACGAGACUGCCGGUAAAAAGCCGGAGGAAGGUGAGGAUGAUGUCAAGUCAGCAUGACCUUUAUAUCCAGGGCUACACACACGCUACAAUGGUCUGUACAAUGGGUAGCCAAGCCGCGAGGCGGAGCCAAUCCUGAAAGCAGGCCUCAGUUCAGAUUGCAGUCUGCAACUCGACUGCAUGAAGCCGGAGUUGCUAGUAACCGCAGGUCAGCAAUACUGCGGUGAAUACGUUCCCGGGUCUU
rnacentral:rRNA from 1 species